GUGGGGAAUAUUGGACAAUGGGCGCAAGCCUGAUCCAGCCAUGCCGCGUGCAGGAAGACGCAUCUAUGGUGUGUAAACUGCUUUUGUACGGGAAGAAACACUCCCUCGUGAGGGAGCUUGACGGUACCGUAAGAAUAAGGAUCGGCUAACUCCGUGCCAGCAGCCGCGGUAAUACGGAGGAUCCAAGCGUUAUCCGGAAUCAUUGGGUUUAAAGGGUCCGUAGGCGGUUUAAUAAGUCAGUGGUGAAAGCCCAUCGCUCAACGAUGGAACGGCCAUUGAUACUGUUAGACUUGAAUUACAAGGAAGUAACUAGAAUAUGUAGUGUAGCGGUGAAAUGCUUAGAUAUUACAUGGAAUACCAAUUGCGAAGGCAGGUUACUACUUGUGGAUUGACGCUGAUGGACGAAAGCGUGGGGAGCGAACAGGAUUAGAAACCCUUGUAGUCC
rnacentral:rRNA from 1 species